rnacentral:rRNA from 1 species
UCCUACGGGAGGCAGCAGUGAGGAAUAUUGGUCAAUGGGCGCAAGCCUGAACCAGCCAAGUCGCGUGAGGGAUGACGGUCCUAUGGAUUGUAAACCUCUUUUGUCGGGGAGCAAAAGCCGGACGUGUCCGGCUGUGAGAGUACCCGAAGAAAAAGCAUCGGCUAACUCCGUGCCAGCAGCCGCGGUAAUACGGAGGAUGCGAGCGUUAUCCGGAUUUAUUGGGUUUAAAGGGUGCGCAGGCGGAUUUUUAAGUCAGCGGUCAAAUCGUGGGGCUCAACCCCAUCCAGCCGUUUAAACUGGGGAUU